rnacentral:lncRNA from 1 species
CCGCGAUGCACCCCCAGCUGCAUGCAGCCCCUCAGUCUCUUGCAAUCUUCCCCCUGCCCGUUGCAGUGCAUCCCAGCAGCCUGCCCUCCCCCAAAGCCAUUUCAGUCCUUCCUGGCCCUUUGCAAUGCCCCCCAGUCACUUUGCAGUUCCCCUGACCCAUUGCAGUCCCCUGUCCUUUGCCGUGCACUCAGCAGCCUGCAGCCCCCCAGUUCUUUGCAAUGCAUCCUUGCUGCUUGCAAUAUCCCCCGUCCCAUUGCAAAGCACUCCAGCUGCGUGCAGGCACGCCAACCCGUUGGAAUUCCCCCUGGCCCAUUGCAACCCCUCAGCUCUUUGCAACACCCCUCAGCUGCUUGCCGUCCCCCCAGCCCAUUGCAAUCCCUCCAUCCCAUUGCAGUGCACUUGGAGUGCACCCUUGGAGUAACACGUAGGGCUCGGGAGCACCACCCCAAAAGCACCCACCCUGCUCAGUGCCAGCACCCCCGGCCAACCACCAACCUAGGGCUGAAAGGGUGGAACACACCGUUUUUGCAUCGUUUUGCCCCCCUGCACGCCCGCUCCCCUCCCCAAGGGAACCUUCUGAUGGCUGAGCAGUCCCUGCCGCGCCGCCCGCCUGCACCUCCCGUCCCAACCCCCGGAGACCUGCAGGAAUUCGGCGUCCGACCCCCAGCCGCGGCCGAUGCGCAGGUGUAGG